AGCUGAAUGGCGCAGCGGAAGCGCGCCGGGCUCAUAACCCGGAGGACGCACGAUCGAAACGUGCUUCAGCUAC
rnacentral:tRNA from 1 species